rnacentral:lncRNA from 1 species
UCCCUUGUCACCGGCCUGGAUGUUGAUCUGUGCGCACUUAGCCAGGCAGCCGGGUCGGUGUGCAGCACCUGCAUUGAGGCCAAGGCGGCCUCUCUGCCCUUCCCGAAUAGCAGUAGCGAGCCGCCACAGCCUCUGGCUCUGGCGCACUCUGACGUGUGCGGCCCCAUGCCCACCGUGGGCCGUGGUGGCGCACGCUACUUCACCACGCUGCUUGACGCCGCCACCGGCCUAUCAGCUGUUCGGUUGCUGCCCACCAGGGACCACGCUGGUGUAGCGCUGCAGGAGAUGAUUGCGCAGUUCGAGAGUCACUGCCGCGAUGGCGGCAAGCUGCGCAUCCUCCGCAGCGACAACGGCGGCGAGUACCACGCUGAGCAGCUGGAGCAGUGGCUGCGUGAGCGCAGCACCGCGCACCAGUUCAGCGCGCCGUACACGCCGCAGCAGAACGGUGUGGCCGAGCGGCUCAACCGCACCCUGAUGGAGCGCACUCGCGCCCUGCUGUUUGAGGCUGUGCUCCCCCCCAGCUUCUGGCCUGAAGCUGUGGUGCAUGCCUGCCAUGUGCGCAACUUAAGUCCCUCCACCAGCUGCAGCAGCACGCCGUGGGAGGCCUUCACCGGCAACAAGCCUAACGUUGCCGACCUGCGCAUCUUCGGCUGCCGCGUCUAUGUCACCAAACCCGCCGACAGCCGCUCCAAGCUCAGCCCGCAUGCCGACAUCGGCACGUACCUGGGCCUGCAGCGCAGCUCCGCCGCAUCUCGCGUGCUGGUCGGCGGCAAAGUGGUGGUGAGCCGGGACAUAGAGUUCGAUGAGGAUGUACGGGGUCCGGCGUCGCGGCUGGCGGGCACACCGUUCGGGGUAACGGCGGAUGCGAGUGGUGGUGGUGGUGGCAGUAGCAGUGCUGCAACGCCCUCGGCCGGCGCUGACCCGGCGCCUCCCCAGGCGCCGGCGGCGCCGGCCAACGGCACACCUCCCCCCACUACGCUGCCGGCGCCUCCCCAGGCGCCGGCAGCCGGGCCCUCACGGCCCGCCACCCGCAGUCAACGCCCCUCACUAACGCCGGCCCUCGGCGCCGUCAGUGAGCCUCCGCUGUCAACUGCCGCAUCCGCGGCGGCGGGCGGCGGGGGUGGCAGCAGUAGCAGCGCCGCCUCGGCUGCAGCAGCGGCCGCUCAGCUGUUUGAUAGCGACAGCGACGACGAGACGCCGGCGCUGGCGCCAGCCUCAGAUGAUGAGGACAGCUACAGCAGCAGCGCUGCGAUGACUGCGGCUGCGGACACCGGCGACCCCCGCAGCUAUUCGGAGGCCACUAACGGACCACAAGCUGCGGAGUGGCGCGCCGCUAUGGAGGAGGAGAUGAAGGCUCAACGCGCACACGGCACCUGGCAGCUAGCGGAGCCGCCCCCAGGCGCGCGUCUGCUGGCCAAUCGCUGGGUCUUCAAGACCAAUGUUGGUGAGUUGGGGGCUCGCGGUGCUAGUGGCCCGCGAGGGGAGGCAGCCCAACCCUAGGGUGCAGCCGUGUGGCGGUUUGCCGGAUGGGUCAGACUGCCAGGUACGAGGUUGCGAGGGGCUGCCGCCCGUCUGUGUGGCGCGCUUCCGAGCGCUUGCUUUGUUAACCACACGCGCCAUAAGUCUUCCCCCACUACCGGUGCCAGACAGCAUAGCUGUAUCGCGUGUGAAGCACCCGCAGCCAGCAACAGCGUCAGCCGAGCCAAAAUCCUCAGCAGGUUAUGAGCCCCGCGCCGCGAUAACCCGCGCGCGGUCGGCCGCUUAGCUAGCUAGGUAGUAUGGGGGACUAUAGUGGAGUAAUGUUGUUAGAGGACGCGUCAAACUACUUUGCGUGGCGUCGCAGCCUGUUGGACCACCUGAACUCCCGGCGUGUGCCUCUCGGAGAAUAUCUCUUCGCCUACGCUCCGAUGACGCCUCGCACGGCGCGCGAGCUGGCUGAUGAGAGUGCUGCAGCCGCCAGUUUGCUGCGCAUGUCCUGCAGUGAGGGCGUUGCGCAGCAACUCGCACUCGCUCAGCACGCCUACGAGGCGCACGCCUACGUCAUCCAGCUGUUCCGCCAGUCAGCGCCGCUGAAACUGGCGCAGUUCGAGUCAGCGAUGAGUUCUGCCUGCGAGAGGGCGAGACCAUUGCCUCUUACUUCCUGCGCGCCAGUGACCUGCGGGACCGCAUCGGCGCGGUCGGCGGCUCGUGGACCGACCAGCAGGUGCGACUCAAGCUGCUGGCCGGUCUGCCCAAGCCGCGCUGGGAGAACAUCUGCGACAUCUGCUACGCCUCUCCAGGCCAGACCCUGCAGCAGCUUUGCGGUUAUUUAAUGCAGCAGGAGUUCAUUAAGAACCAGGAGCAGGCGCGCAGCGGGCACGUCGGCGCCGUCAACCGCAGCGGCGGCCGCGCCGGUGCCGCCGGCAGUGCCGGCGGCGGCCAAGGCGGCGGCGCCGCCAGCAGCAGCGCCAUUAUCUGCCACUACUGCGAGCAGCCUGCUGGCCACAUUCGGUCCCACUGCCGCGUGCGCCUGGCCGAUGUUGCGGCCGGCAUCUUCCGCGCUGACAUCCGCUCGCCGCCCCAGCUGAAGCAGUCCGGCGGCGGCGGUGGUGGCGGCGGUGGAGGCGGCAGUGGUGGCGGUGGUGGCGGCGGUGCCGGCGGCCCCAAAGGUGGCGACAGCGGAGGAGGUAAGAAGCGCGGUGGGCGGAGCGGCGGGAGCAGGGGUGCCUCGGGUGGCGCCGGCACUGCCGUCUCCAAGACUGCGCACGUGCUGGUUGUGCGGGGUGUUGAGGACUGGGCCGUGCCUGACGCCGGCAGCAGUCUAAUCGUCCGCACCUAUGGCGCCGAGUCGGCUGGCUCGGGCGUCAGCAGUGGCUACGGCACGGCCGACGGCGGCAUGCCCAGCUCCGGCGUGGUGGAGGGCCACGCCGGUGGCAGUAGCACCAGCACUUACUGCUACAGCGCGGCCGUCAGCGGCUCUCGCAGCAGUAGCACCAUCGGCAGCGCCCCGCCUCCCCUGGGCGGUGGCUGCAGCCUGAUCAACAUGGUCCGCGCGGCGUUCCGGCGCCUUCGCAGCGGACCCAACAGCAGCAGCGCAGGAGCAGGAGUCUCCAGCAGCAGCAGCGGCAGUGCCGGGCUUGCGAGUUCCGGCGGCCGCUCGAGUGUCGUCUGCAAUAGCGGAGACACCGUGCUGUAUCCCUCCAGCAGCAGCAGCGUCGGGGUGGUGGCGAACGGCAGCGUCAGCGGCAGCCCCAGUAGCGCCGCCGCCGCCAGUGGUGUGCCGGUGGUGGAUUCCGGCACCUUUGCCCAUAUCACGCCGCUGCGUCAGCUGCUUCACAACUUCACGCCCCGCUCGAGGGUGAGGCAAGUGCUGUGGGGGGAUGGCCACAGCAGCCCGGUCGGGGGAUCGGGCACUCUCCGGAUGCUCUCCGGGCGGCAGCGUGUUGAUGUGACGGGUGUGCUGUAUGUGCCAGCCGCCCAGCUCUCCCUGCUAUCUGUGCGCCGGCUGACGGCCAGCGGCGUGAAGGUAGUGUUCGAGGGGGAGACAGUGACCUUAGCGCAGGGUGGCCGCAACCUCCUCAGCGGCCGCCUGCGCGAUGGUCUGUUCCCGCUGUCUGUUACCAUGCUGCCCGUCGCGCUGGCGGCGCCCGCCGUGGCGCCGCCGGCUGCCGGCGGCGGCCCCGCCGCGCCUCCGGGCGGCGGCGGUGGUGCCGCCGCCAACGGCAGUAACACCGGUGUACACCCCAAUCCCGCCGCCGCGCUUUCGGGCCGCGGCGGCACCACCAGCAGCAGCAGCCUCAGCGGCUCCGGCACUAUGAGCAGUAGCAGCAGCAUUGGUGCGGCCGCGCCUUCGGGCGGCGGCGGCGCCAGCAGCAGCACCAGCUCGCCGGCGGCUUCUCUGGGCGCUGCGCUCCGUCUGCACCGCCGGUUCGGCCAUCUCGGCUGGACUGCGCUGAUGCAGAUGGUGGGUGGGUCCCUUGUCACCGGCCUGGAUGUUGAUCUGUGCGCACUUAGCCAGGCAGCCGGGUCGGUGUGCAGCACCUGCAUUGAGGCCAAGGCGGCCUCUCUGCCCUUCCCGAAUAGCAGUAGCGAGCCGCCACAGCCUCUGGCUCUGGCGCACUCUGACGUGUGCGGCCCCAUGCCCACCGUGGGCCGUGGUGGCGCACGCUACUUCACCACGC